rnacentral:miRNA from 1 species
CAGUGCAAUGUUAAACUUUGC